GAUGAAGAACGCAGCGAAAUGCGAUAAGUAGUGUGAAUUGCAGAAUUCAGUGAAUCAUCGAAUCUUUGAACGCACAUUGCGCCUUCUAGUAUUCUGGGAGGCAUGCCUGUUUGAGCGUCAUUAACCCUCUCUCAAGUAUGAUUACUUGGAUGUGAAGGAAGAGUACCUUAAACUUAAGGAGUGUUCUCCUUUGAAAUUGAUUAGCAGAUGGUAAUGUUAUUAAAUCCCUGAUGUUGUAAGAAAUAACAGUGGUUUUGUAGACUAUUAUCUAGCUUUAAAUUAUAAUUUUUAUUAUGGUUGACCUCAAAUCAGGUAAGGAUACCCGCUGAACUUAAGCAUAUCAAUAAGCGGAGGA
rnacentral:misc_RNA from 1 species